CCCUCCGGGGCGCAGCAGUGAGGGAUAUUGGUCAAUGGGCGCGAGCCUGAACCAGCCAAGUAGCGUGCCGGAUUCCUUCCCUCCGGGUUGUCCCCUUCUUUUCUCCCGGCCUCCCGUGCGGCCCGUGUGCCUUUUUGUAUGUACUUUAUGAAUCGGGCUCGGCUCCCUCCGUGCCCGCCGCCGCGGUCCUCCGGCGGCUCCGCGCGUUCUCCGGCUUUCUUGGGUUUCCCGGGCGCGUCGCUGUGUUGUUCCGUCCGUUGUGCCCGUUUGCGGCUCCCCCGUCCCCUUGCCCUUG
rnacentral:rRNA from 1 species